rnacentral:misc_RNA from 1 species
AUCAACAUGCAACUAACAUGAAGUCCCCUCACAUUUUGAGCAGUAAUCAUGGUGUGAUAUCCUUGCUUCAUGAAUGCAAGGGCAGAAGCUCAAAGAAUGAGUAAUUAACUAUCAUGUUAUGACACAAAUAACAGGAAAACAAGAUAGAGAAUAUAUCCGUUCAAAUGUCAAAUAUUUUCAAAUGUUUUAGCACAACAUCCA